rnacentral:tRNA from 1 species
GGCGCUAUAGCCAAGUGGUUAAGGCGACAGAUUAGAAUGUGAGGGGCCCGGUACCUUCCAGCGUUUCUGCUCACUGGACGGUGCUUAUCACAGGCUGGGCAAUGGCGCCCAUUUAUCUGUUACUCUCUGAGUGCGCAGGUUCAAAUCCUGCUGGUGUCG